UAUUAGUGGCAUCGUUAAAAGAUUAAGAGCUUCGGUGGUAAGAGAUGAGUAUGCGUUCUAUUAGCUAGUAGGUGAGGUAACGGCUCACCUAGGCGACGAUAGAUAGGGGCCCUGAGAGGGGGAUCCCCCACACUGGUACUGAGACACGGACCAGACUCCUACGGGAGGCAGCAGUGAGGAAUAUUGGACAAUGGGCGCAAGCCUGAUCCAGCCAUGCCGCGUGCAGGAAGACUGCCCUAUGGGUUGUAAACUGCUUUUAUAUAGGAAGAAACCAUUCUACGUGUAGAGUGCUGACGGUACUAUAAGAAUAAGCAUCGGCUAACUCCGUGCCAGCAGCCGCGGUAAUACGGAGGAUGCAAGCGUUAUCCGGAAUCAUUGGGUUUAAAGGGUCCGUAGGUGGAUAGAUAAGUCAGAGGUGAAAUCCUGCAGCUCAACUGUAGAAUUGCCUUUGAAACUGUUUAUCUUGAAUUAUGGUGAAGUGGUUAGAAUAUGUAGUGUAGCGGUGAAAUUCAUAGAUAUUACAUAGAAUACCAAUUGCGAAGGCAAAUCACUAACCAUAUAUUGACACUGAUGGACGAAAGCGUGGG
rnacentral:rRNA from 1 species